GUGCCAGCCGCCGCGGUAAAACGUAGGGCGCAAGCGUUGUCCGGAAUCACUGGGUGUAAAGGGUGUGUAGGCGGGCGAGCAAGUCACGGGUGAAAGGCGUCGGCUCAACCGGCGGAAUGCCCGUGAGACUGCUUGUCUUGAGUGCGGGAGAGGCUGGUGGAAUUCCUGGUGUAGCGGUGAAAUGCGUAGAUAUCAGGAGGAACACCGAAGGCGAAGGCCGCCAGCUGGCCCGCAACUGACGCUGAGGCACGAAAGCGUGGGGGGCAAACAGGAUGAGAUACCCUGGUAGUCCACGCUGUAAACGAUGCACGUUAGGCGUUGGUCUUGCUGCGGCAGGAUCAGUGCCGAAGCUAACGCGAUAAACGUGCCACCUGGGGAGUACGCUCGCAAGGGUGAAACUCAAAUGAAUUGGCGGGG
rnacentral:rRNA from 1 species